rnacentral:rRNA from 1 species
UACGGGAGGCAGCAGUGGGGAAUCUUGCGCAAUGGCCUAACGGCUGACGCAGCGACGCCGCGUGUGGGAUGAAGCUCCUCGGAGUGUAAACCACUGUUGCCCGGGACGAACAGCUCGAUUAAUCGAGCCUGACGGUACCGGGUGAGGAAGCACCGGCUAACUCCGUGCCAGCAGCCGCGGUAAUACGGGGGGUGCGAGCGUUGUCCGGAAUCACUGGGCGUAAAGGGCGCGUAGGUGGUUUGAUAAGGGUGUGGUGAAAGUCCGGGGCUCAACCCCGGAUCUGCCGUGCCGACUGUCAAACUCGAGGACUGUAGAGGCAGACGGAAUUCCGGGUGUAGCGGUGGAAUGCGUAGAGAUCCGGAGGAAGACCGGUGGCGAAGGCGGUCUGCUGGGCAGUUUCUGACACUGAGGCGCGACAGCGUGGGGAGCAAACAGGAUUAGAUACCCUGGUAG